rnacentral:lncRNA from 1 species
ACAUAUCUCAUAAGGUGAAGAAUGCCUUCAAUAAAAUCUCAGUUUGGGGUUCCUUUUUUUUUUUUUUUUUUUUCCCGGAGAUGGUGAAGAUGUUACUCAUUUUGAAAGCAAUGAUUGGGAAGUAGGUGCUUUUGCUGGAAAAUGCUUUUCUGGAACCUGAAUAAAAGUGAGGCUGAUCCCCUGGAGCGCAGGAGCUUGCUGCAUUCUCUUUUCUGCCUGGGCUUCUAAGAUCCACGUGCGAGAGAGCCCUGGGUGGGGCACCCUCUGCUAUUCAAGCGGGUGCCUGUGGCCUACGUGAACAGUGUAAGUCCCUUGUCUGGAGCUAUAUUGG